UUUCCAUCUUCUUCACUAGCCACCAUUUCUCAAAAAGGAGAAGAUCUUGCAAUUAUCAAAGGGAAGCAAAGAGGUUUCAAGAAUAAUUAAAGCCAGUCAAACUUUUGACUGUUGAUUUUUGUGUAAUCAAGAGUUUAGAGAAGAAGUUGCAGGUACAAGUUCUUGAUGUGCAUGGAAAUCAUAAGCAUCCGGAUGGGAGUUUUAGUACACGAGUACUUUCUUAAUAAAGUUAUUUUGAAUUUAUGUUUGACUUUACUUGACCACUGGGGUCAAGGUUUGACUCGUUUUGAAGAUGGGACUAGUAUGGGAUAGUCUCCGAGUUUGUAACUCAAUUAUAUACUUUCUUAUUUCAGUUGUAUUAAAGUAUUUUCAGUUUAUUUUAAAAGACUUCCGCUGUAUUAUCUGAUUAGCCUUACGUAUUAUCAUGCGUGGCAUAACAACUCCCGCAAUUUCUCCUAGUUUGUAAAAGGAGGAGUCGUGGGGGU